CCUACGGGGCGCAGCAGUGAGGAAUAUUGGUCAAUGGGCGGGAGCCUGAACCAGCCAAGUCGCGUGAAGGAAGAAGGUACUUAGUAUUGUAAACUUCUUUUAUCAGGGACGAUAAUGACGGUACCUGAAGAAAAAGCUCCGGCUAACUACGUGCCAGCAGCCGCGGUAAUACGUAGGGAGCGAGCGUUGUCCGGAAUUACUGGGUGUAAAGGGAGCGUAGGCGGGACGGCAAGUCAGAUGUGAAAACUGAGGGCUCAACUUUCAGACUGCAUUUGAAACUGCUGUUCUUGAGUGAAGUAGAGGUA
rnacentral:rRNA from 1 species